rnacentral:lncRNA from 1 species
ACCUGUGUGUUCCCCCCGCUGACGUACAGCACCAGGGGGUCCCGGGCUGCCCCCAACAGCCGCCCCAUCUCGAUGUGCCCCACGCAGUGAUUCACGGCCACCAAUGGACGCCCCCAAAGCUGCGCCAACGUCCGCGCCACCGCCGCCACCACCGCCAAUGGGGCGCCCAUCCCCGGCCCUACAAGUGGGGGGGGGGAGAUAUGGGGUCUAUGGGGGCUCUAUGGGGCUCUAUGGGGCCUCUAUGGGAGUCUAUGGGGGUCUACGAGGCUCUAUGAGGGCUCUAUGGGGCUCUACGGGGGUCUAUGGGGACUCUAUGGGGGUCUAUGGGAUCUAUGGGGACUCUAUGGGGGUCUAUGGGGUCCCUAUGGGGGUCUAUGGGGUCCCUAUGGGGAGUCUAUGGGGGUCUAUGGGGGCUCCAUGGCGCUCUAUGGGGGUCUAUGGAGUCCCUAUGGGGGUCUAUAGGGUCCCUAUGGAGAGUCUAUGGGGGUCCAUGGGGUCUCUAUGGGGGUCUAUGAGGGUCUAUGGGGGCUCCAUGGCGCUCUAUGGGGGUCUAUGGGGUCUCUAUGGGGCUCUAUGGGGCUCUAUGGGGGCUCUAUGGGGCUCUAUGGGGCUCUAUGAGGUCUCUAUGGGGCUCUAUGGGUCCCUAUGUCCCACCACCGCCAAUGGGGCGCCCAUCCCCGGCCCUACAAGUGGGGGGGGGAAAGGGGGGGGAGAUAUGGGGUCUAUGGGGCUCUAGGGGGGUCUAUGGGGGUCUAUGAGGCUCUAUGGGGGUCG